rnacentral:rRNA from 1 species
UCCUGGCUCAGGACGAACGCUGGCGGCGUGCCUAAUACAUGCAAGUCGAGCGGACAGAUGGGAGCUUGCUCCCUGAUGUUAGCGGCGGACGGGUGAGUAACACGUGGGUAACCUGCCUGUAAGACUGGGAUAACUCCGGGAAACCGGGGCUAAUACCGGAUGGUUGUUUGAACCGCAUGGUUCAGACAUAAAAGGUGGCUUCGGCUACCACUUACAGAUGGACCCGCGGCGCAUUAGCUAGUUGGUGAGGUAACGGCUCACCAAGGCAACGAUGCGUAGCCGACCUGAGAGGGUGAUCGGCCACACUGGGACUGAGACACGGCCCAGACUCCUACGGGAGGCAGCAGUAGGGAAUCUUCCGCAAUGGACGAAAGUCUGACGGAGCAACGCCGCGUGAGUGAUGAAGGUUUUCGGAUCGUAAAGCUCUGUUGUUAGGGAAGAACAAGUGCCGUUCAAAUAGGGCGGCACCUUGACGGUACCUAACCAGAAAGCCACGGCUAACUACGUGCCAGCAGCCGCGGUAAUACGUAGGUGGCAAGCGUUGUCCGGAAUUAUUGGGCGUAAAGGGCUCGCAGGCGGUUUCUUAAGUCUGAUGUGAAAGCCCCCGGCUCAACCGGGGAGGGUCAUUGGAAACUGGGGAACUUGAGUGCAGAAGAGGAGAGUGGAAUUCCACGUGUA